rnacentral:rRNA from 1 species
UACAGAGACUGCAAGCGUUAUUCGGAUUCACUGGGCGUAAAGGGUGCGCAGGCGGCCGUAUGUGUGAGGCGUGAAAGCCCGGGGCUUAACCCCGGAAUUGCACCUCAAACUAUACGGCUAGAGCAUUGGAGAGGGUAGCAGAAUUCAUGGUGUAGCAGUGAAAUGCGUAGAUAUCAUGAGGAAUACCAGAGGCGAAAGGCGGCUACCUGGACAAUUGCUGACGCUCAGGCACGAAAGCGUGGGGAGCAAAAAGGG